UGGUGUGGGGUUGUAUGAGUGCGUGUGGCAUGGACAGCUUACACAUCUGGAAAGGCACUGUGAAGAAGGACUUGCUGUUAUGGGGAUUAGCCAAUCAGCGGCUUCGUUUCGGGGUCACAGAGAGAACACAGUUUUAGCGCUAUUAGUUUUAGUUUCGUUUUGAGUUGGUUGUGAGAUUGGCCGGUAAACGCAUUGUAGAAUUUACUGAGGUGAAUAGAUGUCUUCCAUGUCGAUAUCUGUGCAUGUGUGCGUUCAGAGACAUAACCACACACACAUACUGUACGUACAUGAAGACAGAUAAUCCUCUGCUGAGUAUCAAUAAAACCAUCAAAGAGAUUUACAGCAUCCAAUUGCAUUCUUAUCGAUGCACCACAGUGGUCACUUGUCCCCAACUAGCUACAGUUACAGUCCUAGCUAUCAAGUCAUCAUUACAGGCACCAUCAGUUCCAUCCAGACGUUGUCUCUUUCAGGGAAGACCUUGCAUUUUCCAACAUGACAAUGCCAGACCACAUACUGCAUCAAUUACAACAUCACGGCUGGGUGGAAGAAGGAUCCAGGUACUGAAAUGGCCAGCCUGCAGUCCAGAUCUUUCACCCACAGAAAACAUUUGGCGCAUCUUAAAGAGGAAGAUGCGACAAAGAAGACCUAAGACAGUUGAGCAACUAGAAACCUGUAUUAGACAAGAAUAGGACAACAUUCCUAUUCCUAAACUUGUGCAACUUGUUUCCUCAGUCUCCAGACGUUUGCAGACUGUUAUAAAAAAAGAGGGGAUGAAACACAGUGGUAAACAUGGCCUUGUCCCAACUUUUUUGAGAUGUGUUGACGCAGUGAAAUUUAAAAUCAACUUAUUUUCCCCUAAACAUUCUACUUUUUUUUUCAGUUUAAACAUUUGAUAUGUCAUCUAUGUUGUAUUCUGAAUAAAAUAUUGAAAUUUGAAACUUCCA